rnacentral:lncRNA from 1 species
AUUCAAUGUGGUUUCAUUUAAAGAAUUUCUGUAUGUCCUUGUUUUUGAUUCAGACAGUGAUUAUUGCUUAAGACACCAUCUCUUUGAAGAGUAUAUUGUGUAAUAAUACAAUAAUGUUCCAUUUCAGGAAACAUCUGUGUGAGACACAUCUGCCUCCUGAUCUCUGGCAAACACUGUGACAAGGGGAAUCAUCUCGGCAUCCAGCAAGUGCCACCUCAUUUGUCACCAUGGUGCCUGUGCUUCCCCCACAGUUCCUCUGUCUCACUUUCUCGGACCCUCAGCUCUGUAUUAGUUCAUAAAAAAAGGGGAUUUGUCUUCACUGUUCCUGAAAUUUUAUUUUUGAGGUUUAUUUUUGAGAUUGGGCUAUCUGUUCUAUGUAGAAGGAAGGACUUAAGGAAAAAUUGAGCAAUGUAUGACUUUAUAGAAUACUUUAUUUAGCUUUUUCAGUUUGUAUGACCGGUGAUUCCUGCUCUUUCUGUCUCUCAUGAUUUACCUUCAUUAAAUGCUCUGAUCCAUGCUUAAAAAACUUCCAUACAGGCCUCCUUCCUUUCUAAACAUCACAUCUCUCUGCACUAAAUGAAGGCAGAAAAGAAAAGCUUCCCAAGGUACAGUGAGCAGAAAGUGUGCAAGUGCAAACCCAGACAGAGGAAAGGAUUAAUUCAAGCCUGAAAGGUCUCUGUAAGCUGGGAAGGUGUGCUAGGAAGGUGUUUAGCACAGAUAAGGACAGGAGACCCAGGGAGACAAAGACUGAAGUUAGGGGGUUUGGGAGGAUUCGUGAAAAGGACACCAGGAAAAAUAGUAAAUAGGGAUUUGACUGAACAAUGCAGUAUCUGUUAGAGAGGUGUUACAGGGGAGCCCUGGCGCUGAGAUCAGGGAGCAGAGGAGCUGGGGAGGAAGGGAGGCAGUCACAGCAGUGCCUGCAGAGAGUGGCAGGUGCUGAGACCAUGAGAAAAGCUGGGCUGUGAGUCCAGGUCCCUGAUCUACCAGCAAACAGUGGAACGACGAUUAAUUACAUCACAACUUGAAAAGUGGUGUUGUUUUCCACCCCUUCAAAUAGAGUCCACUAUUUACACUUGAAUCCACUGAUGGGCAGGAUUUUUUCAAAGACAGAAAUGAAAAACUGAUUUUAAAAAUCCAAAUUCUGUCUCACAAACAUUUCCAAAAAAUAGAAGACUUUGAAAAAGUAGUCUGAUGAGCUAAAAAUCUUGCUGUUUAUACUCAGAUUGAAGAAAGGCUGUCUGGAAGUUUCAUUCUCAUGCUAUUUUUGCAUUUUAUUUGGAAGCCCUUAGGGUCUCAAGCAGAAGCUGUAUGUAAGAGAAAAUGAAAAAUUUAUCUGAAUACAU